UCUCUGUUCGUAUAGUGGUUAGUAUGUGAGCUUGUCAUUACAGACAUCGCUCGAGACCGGGGUUCAAUUCCCCGACAGAGAG
rnacentral:tRNA from 1 species